AUUCUGCAGCCACCCAUAUGUCACCACCUACCUGCUUUAUCUCUUUGUCACAUUUUCAUCUCUUUCUACUUCAACUUUCCUUUGAUUCAUCCCCAAAAGCUUUCCCCUAGGCCACUUGGCAGUAUUCCCUCACUAGUCAAAAUCUGGUGGGUCUUUCUUGAGUGAGCUCUCAGAGCUGACCUCCUUUUUUAAGACAUCUAUUUGCAUGCAGGUGGCCAUCGAUGACAUCAAUGGUUUUGCAGUAUUGAGCCACAUUUUGGAUUUUACCUAGAAGAUGUGCAGAAUAUAAAUGUUUUCAUGAGAACAAAAUAUACAGCUGGAUGUUUGUCACAAUUCUAAUGUCCCUGCAAAGAUGAGAUGCAUGAAUCACACAGCAAUCUCAUCAAAAAGGAAUUUCUGGAAGGUAAGAAUAAAACACAAUGGACACUAAAACUUUUCUGCCCACGAAAGUAAGAGGCAUUUGAGAAUUGUUCACUUUAUCUUAUGAGGCAUAGGAGAAGAGAAUCCUGGAAAAAGCAAGAAGCAGGAAGAUAAGAGGCAAAGAAGAAGAGAGCCCCACCCACUGGGGCAAGCUGGGGCCCCAGAUGAUGAAACUGUGGCCCAGAAAGUUUAAGGGAUGUGUCAAAUGUCACACAGCUCACAGAUCCAGGGACAUGGCUUAAAUCCAGAUAUCUUGAUUCUAACUUCAGUUGAGGAAGAGAAAGAGUGCUGCCCCACGCUGCCUGAUUUACAACGUGAAGUGAAAUCUUUGAAAAGAAAAAUAAGACAAUGUCACUCAAGCUCUUAUCUGAGGAUUUCCUGGGUUUGAAGACAGAGCUCAAACUCAUACAAGGGGUCAUCUGAGUCUGCAGAUAGGCUUGCUUUAUGCUGCUCCGUCAGAUCUCUUCUAAAGAUUAGUGCGCAAUUCUGGACAUUACAUUUUAAUGGUAACAUGGAUUCAACUAAAGGCCGCAGCAACUUUGCUUUGUACACUCUGUCUCCUGCCAAGAGAGCCCAGGGAAGGUAAUGUCUCCUGGAUCGUAUGAAAUGUUUCUGUAACGGUCACUGUAACUCACACCUUGAUUUUUACCAGGUCGCUGGCAAGUGCGAUGGAUUGUAAUUGCUGCACAUUCAUGAGGGCUUCUCAAGGUUACCCGGGCACAGUGAAUACCAAAAGAAGAAUAAGACGGAGAGCUAUUCCUCAGUGAAGCAGAGUUUACAACCCUUGUUCAUUUUGGCCAAAGGCCAGCUGACUCUAGUUUACCUAACUUUUAGAGAGUUUCAGAAAAAAAAAUGGAAGUAAUAUCCUGCCUUUGAGUAUGGAGACAAAAUUCUAAUAUCAUAAGAGAGUUAUCAGAGGUUAAGGCAGUUAGAAGGGUUCAUUCAUUCAACAUUCAACACAAACUGUGAACACCUAACAUUUGCCAUGUACAAAGAAGGACGUUCUGCCUUGGACUAACAUCCAUUCCUGUGAGGGAAGAGAAGCAGCAGGCCUGGAUGAUGCUGCCGCUUGAAGAAGAAAAUCUUUCUCCUGCCAGAGUCCUGCUUAACCUUAGCUGGGGGAGGUGAUCUUUAACACUAACUAUUAAAGUUUGAGCCCAGAGACUGGUGCUAAUUCACCCUGACCAACCUCUCACACAGCCACAGAAUUCUCCCCUGCACACCAGGGCACCACCACUGGGAGCUGUUGGCAAUAAGGGAGUGGAGAAGGUAGAAUGUGAGAGGCCCUCAGUCAUCCACUCCUCUAGUCAGUAGCCUUCCACUCAUAAAUGGAUAAAAACAAGAGCCAUUUUUAGAUUCAGCAUUUCCUGGGGAGAACAAUUCCAGCCCCAAACUUCAGAUGUCAGCAGAGAACAGUGUGGGCUCUUUAUGUUCCUCAAGAACAUGCACACUGAGCUUCCCCCGCAGCCCCCGAGCACUGCCAGCUGCUGCUGCUGCGAUCCCAGUGUCUGAGUUUGUGACUCGCCGGGAGAUUGUCUGUUCCUGCUGCUUCCAAUAUCGUCUUGGCCUUUAUGAAGGCACAUGCACACGACUGUAGCGGCACCCCUGUCUCCGGCCCAUUGUGGACAUGACUGCUCUUCCAGUGUGGCUCCCCUGUGACAGGCACCUGCUCAGCAACCUACAGAAGCUCCCCCAGAUAAGAAAAUUGAGACUCAGAGCAUUUAAGCAGCCAGCCUGGAGUCACAGAGAUUUAAGUCUCAGAGCCAGCACUCAGGAUGAGUGCCAAUGGAAGCCUGUCCUUGGAGUCCAGAAUGAACGUCAGAAGCAACCCAGCCACAGCAGGAGACUGUCCAUGAAUGUCAUCUGGCUGAACCUAAAGGCAAGACCUUUUUAACUUAUCUCAUUCAAGCUUAUUCUUCGUACUCUUUCACUAAUUCCAAUUAAGAAUAUUUCAUGCUCAUGAUAGGAUUUGCCAUUUUUCCCACUUGCCAAGUCCCUGAUUAUUCAUCAUCAUCACCAGCAACAACAGCAGCAGCAGCAGCAGCAGAAAUAGAGAAUUACUUGUUC
rnacentral:lncRNA from 1 species